GACCGCGUAGCUCAGUUGGCAGAGCAUUGGUCUAGUAUUCCAAAUGUUGUAGGUUCGAUUCCCACCGUGGACA